UACGUAGGGUCCGAGCGUUGUCCGGAAUUACUGGGCGUAAAGAGCUCGUAGGCGGUUUGUCGCGUCGAAUGUGAAAACCCGGGGCUCAACUCCGGGCCUGCAUUCGAUACGGGCAGACUAGAGUUCGGUAGGGGAGACUGGAAUUCCUGGUGGUAGCGGUGAAAUGCGCAGGAUAUCAGGAGGAACACCGGUGGCGAAGGCGGGUCUCUGGGCCGAUGACUGACGCUGAGGAGCGAAAGCGUGGGGAGCGAACAGG
rnacentral:rRNA from 1 species